rnacentral:rRNA from 1 species
UGGGGAAUAUUGCACAAUGGGCGCAAGCCUGAUGCAGCGACGCCGCGUGAGGGAUGACGGCCUUCGGGUUGUAAACCUCUUUCACCAGGGACGAAGCGUGAGUGACGGUACCUGGAGAAGAAGCACCGGCCAACUACGUGCCAGCAGCCGCGGUAAUACGUAGGGUGCGAGCGUUGUCCGGAAUUACUGGGCGUAAAGAGCUCGUAGGCGGUUUGUCGCGUCGUCUGUGAAAUUCUGCAACUCAAUUGUAGGCGUGCAGGCGAUACGGGCAGACUUGAGUACUACAGGGGAGACUGGAAUUCCUGGUGUAGCGGUGAAAUGCGCAGAUAUCAGGAGGAACACCGGUGGCGAAGGCGGGUCUCUGGGUAGUAACUGACGCUGAGGAGCGAAAGCGUGGGGAGCGAACAGGAUUAGAUACC